rnacentral:rRNA from 1 species
GAUGAACGCUGGCGGCGUGCCUAAUACAUGCAAGUCGAGCGAACGGACGAGAAGCUUGCUUCUCUGAUGUUAGCGGCGGACGGGUGAGUAACACGUGGAUAACCUACCUAUAAGACUGGGAUAACUUCGGGAAACCGGAGCUAAUACCGGCUAAUAUUUUGAACCGCAUGGUUCAAAAGUGAAAGACGGUCUUGGUGUCACUUAUAGGUGGAUCCGCGCUGCAUUAGCUAGUUGGUAAGGUAACGGCUUACCAAGGCAACGAUGCAUAGCCGACCUGAGAGGGUGAUCGGCCACACUGGAACUGAGACACGGUCCAGACUCCUACGGGAGGCAGCAGUAGGGAAUCUUCCGCAAUGGGCGAAAGCCUGACGGAGCAACGCCGAGUGAGUGAUGAAGGUCUUCGGAUCGUAAAGCUCUGUUAUUAGGGAAGAACAUAUGUGUAAGUAACUGUGCACAUCUUGACGGUACCUAAACAGAAAGCCACGGCUAGCUACGUG